rnacentral:rRNA from 1 species
UAAUACGGAGGUGGCAAGCGUUGCUCGGAAUCACUGGGCGUAAAGGGCGCGUAGGCGGGGAGGUAAGUCGGGUGUGAAAUCCCUCGGCCCAACCGAGGAACUGCGCCCGAGACUGCUUCUCUUGAGUCCCGGAGAGGAAGAUGGAAUUCCCGGUGUAGCGGUGAAAUGUGUAGAGAUCG